rnacentral:rRNA from 1 species
UCGCUAGCGGCAGGCUUAAUACAUGCAAGGCGAAGGGGCAGCAAUGUCACUGUCGUACGGGUGCGUAACGCGUAUGCAACCUACCCACAACAGGGGAAUAGCCCGGGGAAACUCGGAUUAAUACCGCAUAAUACAAUUUUAUGGCAUCAUGAGAUUGUGAAAGAUUUAUCGGUUGUGGAUGGGCAUGCGUCCAAUUAGGUAGUUGGUAAGGUAACGGCUUACCAAGCCUAUGAUUGGUAGGGGAUCUGAGAGGAUAGUCCCCCACACUGGCACUGAGAUACGGGCCAGACUCCUACGGGAGGCAGCAGUAGGGAAUAUUGGGCAAUGGAUGCAAGUCUGACCCAGCCAUGCCGCGUGCAGGAAGAAGGUCCUCUGGAUUGUAAACUGCUUUUGACAGGGACGAAAAGGCUCUUGCGAGAGACAUUGACGGUACCUGCAGAAUAAGCACCGGCUAACUACGUGCCAGCAGCCGCGGUAAUACGUAGGGUGCGAGCGUUAUCCGGAUUUAUUGGGUUUAAAGGGUGCGUAGGCGGCCGAUUAAGUCAGUGGUGAAAGACGAUUGCUUAACAAUCGAGGUGCCAUUGAUACUGGUUGGCUUGAGUACGGAAGAGGUAAGCGGAAUUGACUGUGUAGCGGUGAAAUGCAUAGAUAUAGUCAGGAACGCCAAUUGCGAAGGCAGCUUACUGGACCGUAACUGACGCUGAGGCACGAAAGUGUGGGUAUCAACAGGAUUAGAUACCCUGGUAGUCCACACUGUAAACGAUGAUAACUCGCUGUUGGCCUUUCGGGGUCAGUGGCUUAGGGAAACCGUUAAGUUAUCCACCUGGGGAGUACGCCGGCAACGGUGAAACUCAAAGGAAUUGACGGGGGUCCGCACAAGCGGUGGAGCAUGUGGUUUAAUUCGAUGAUACGCGAGGAACCUUACCUGGGCUAAAUCAUGCAUGAGUUCAUCAGAGAUGGUGGAGUUCGCAAGAACAUGUAUGAAGGUGCUGCAUGGCUGUCGUCAGUUCGUGUCGUGAGAUGUUGGGUUAAGUCCCGCAACGAACGCAACCCCUGUGGUUAGUUGCCAUCAAGUAAAGUUGGGGACUCUAGCCAGACUGCCUACGCAAGUAGAGAGGAAGGAGGGGACGACGUCAAGUCAUCAUGGCCCUUACGUCCAGGGCUACACACGUGCUACAAUGGGUGGUACAGCGGGUUGCUACAUGGUAACAUGAUGCCAAUCUCUGAAAGCCACUCACAGUUCGGAUUGAGGUCUGCAACUCGACCUCAUGAAGCUGGAAUCGCUAGUAAUCGCGUAUCAGCAAUGACGCGGUGAAUACGUUCCCGGACCUUGUACACACCGCCCGUCAAGCCAUGGAAGUUGGGUAGACCUGAAGCACCGCCUUAGAAACGGUGUUAGGGUAGAACCAGUAACUAGGGCUAAGUCGUAACAAGGUA